UACGUAGGCAGCAAGCGUUGUUCGGAAUUACUGGGCGUAAAGAGUGUGUAGGCGGUUUUCUAAGUCUGUUGUGAAAUCUCCCGGCUCAACUGGGAGGGUGCGCUAGAAACUGGAAUGCUAGAGGAUGGGAGAGGUAAGCGGAAUUCCUGGUGUAGCGGUGAAAUGCGUAGAUAUCAGGAGGAACACCUGUGGUGUAGACAGCUUACUGGACCAUUUCUGACGCUGAGACACGAAAGCGUGGGUAGCAAACAGG
rnacentral:rRNA from 1 species